UACGUAGGUGGCAAGCGUUGUCCGGAUUUACUGGGCGUAAAGAGCGCGCAGGUGGUCGUUCAAGUCGCGUGUGAAAGCCCCCGGCUCAACUGGGGAGGGUCACGCGAUACUGAUCGACUCGAAGGCAGGAGAGGGAAGUGGAAUUCCCGGUGUAGUGGUGAAAUGCGUAGAUAUCGGGAGGAACACCAGUGGCGAAGGCGACUACCUGGCCUGUUCUUGACGCUGAGGCGCGAAAGCUAGGGGAGCAAACGGG
rnacentral:rRNA from 1 species